UACGAGUGCCCCAAGCGUUAUCCGGAAUCAUUGGGCGUAAAGGGUGUGUAGGUGGUCGUGUUAGUCUUGUGUUAAAUCCUUUGGCUUAACCAAAGGCAUGCAUAGGAAACGGCACGACUUGAAGAUGCGAGGGGUGAAUGGAACUCAUAGUGGAGGGGUGAAAUCCGUUGAUAUUAUGGGGAACACCAAAAGCGAAGGCAAUUCACUGGCGCAUUCUUGACACUGAAACACGAAAGCGUGGGUAGCGAAUGGG
rnacentral:rRNA from 1 species